GACCCCCUCAGACACCCCCGGAGCCUUCACACACAGCCCCGGACCCCCUCAGACACCCCCGGAGCCUUCACACACAGCCCCAGACCCCGGAGCCCUCACGCACCCCGGACCUUCGUGCACACCCACAGAUCCCCUCAGUUUCCCCUCCAGUUCCUUACACACACACUGCCGGACUCUUCAUACGCACUCCCAUAUCUCCUUAGACACCCCCUGAUCUUUCGCACACGCACACGGACCUCUCACACACCCCGUGGGUCCCUCAUGGACACCCCCAGUUCUCCUCACACGCACCCCCAGAGCUCUCACAUGUUUUGUGUGCCUCAGACCCGUCAUACACCCCUCGAUCCUCUCGCAUUCCUCCUGUUGCUCACACACACCUCCUGGUCCCUCACAUACACCCCCAGACCCCCUAAUAAACCCCCAGUUCUUCACACACCCCACGAAGGCCCUCACAUUCCCCAUUUCCUCAGCCACCCCACGGAAUCACAAGACUGGGUCAGGCUGGAAGGGACCAACACGGGGUCAUCUGGUCUGGUCUCCAUGCUCCGGCAGUGUCAUCCCCAAGCACAUGGCACCGGAUUGUGACCAGACGGCUCUGGAAUGCCUCCAGAGACAGACUCCACACCCUCCCUGGACAAUCUGUUCCCGUGCUCGGUCACUGCACAGGGAAGAAGUUCUUCAUGCUCAGGUGGAAUGUCCCUGUGCAUCAAUUCCUGCCUUUUCUCUCGCCCUGGUGAUUGACCAUCAGCAAACCGAGCCCUGCUCCAUCUCCCUGGAAUCCUCCUCCUGAUAUUUAUGAACAAGGAUGAAGUUUUUUCUCAGCUGCCGAGGCCUCUGAACAGGCCCAUCUCACUCACCUGUCCUCAUGAGAGAUGCUCCAAUGCCCCGAGCAUCCUCAUUUCCCCUGGACCUGGUCACACAUUCCCUGGUUCUUCACACACGCCCUGCACCCCUCACACCCCUGGGCCCCUUCACACACCCCCUGGUUCUUCAGACACCCCUGAACCCCUCACUCCCCCUGGACUCCUUCAAACCCCCCUUGGAUCCCCCUUUUUUACCUUCCAGCCUUUGGAUCUCUGCCAAUUGCGCUGUAAAAAGCACUUGCAUAAUAGAUCUAAUGUCAGUAAUGCCUUUUUCUGUCUCCUCUGCUGCAGCUUUUUGUCCCUGUUCUCUUAAAGUUUAUUCUUUCUCCAGAAGCAUACAUGGUUCUUUGAUUUGAAAACUGAAGUCGUUCUGCCUCCUCUCUCUCACUGGAGCAUAAGUGCCUGGAUAAUCCAUUAAAGCAUAUGAAGUUGGCUCUUUGUGAAAAGAAACCUCAGAUGGGAGUAAAAUACUUCAGCUUCCAUAGUCGGAAUUUAAACAGGGACUCUCCAGUGGGUUUUCAUUGUGUGUUUCUGUUGUCUUUAUACUUGAAGGUAGCAGCUCACAGAAUAUUUUGGGAGGUGGGCUAUGUCUCCAAAACAGUUUCACCUUAUUUAGGUUGCUAAAAAUCACCAAGCAAACAUUCCUUUCAGUCAGGCCUCUUGAGCCAUGCCACUUCUUUAUGUCAAUGACAUUUUUAGUUGGUACUUCUGGGUUCCAAAUCUUUUUUAUUUCCCCUGAUGUGAAGUUCUGUAGGUUUCCCCCCUCUGCAUAGCAAACUCUGACUGCCGACAUCCAUUUUCUAGCUCAACACAUCUCUACUGUUUUAUUUCAAUUAACAACAAACCUGGUGACGUCAUCCAACAGAAAAAGACUGGAACUAUAAAACAAAGCUCGCUUUUCCAUAACAAUUAGAGGAAGAAGUAUUUCCAUUCUAGGGACGUGCACAUGCCUAAAAAAGCUGAGGAUGCCUCAGUAGGUUAAAAAGAUGGGUACACUGAUCCUUCUUUGUUUAAACACUGCUCUAGAAAAACAGAAAAAAAUCAUAUACUUCAAAAUAAUUGGAGAGAGACUUUGAUAGACUCACAAAUUUAUAAAGAAAAAAGAUAAAAUAUUUGAAACAUUUGGCAAAUUUUCAGAGUGUAAAGAAAAUCAAGUGUUUGCAAACUGGAAAAUAAAAGAUUAGGCCAUGGUGAAGUUGUUUUUUUUUUUUGUCAGGGUCCAAAGGCUUGUAAAACAGCGGAUGGUGAAGGGGACGAGUCAAAAUAAAAAAUUUCUGGUCAGAACUGAAGGUAAACAGCACCUAAACAACAGAUGAUACGCAAAGAAAAUCCACCGUGCAUUUUUCAUAAGCAGACACAAACAGUUCUUGAUCAACAUCUGCACAGACUGUCAUGUGAUGAGGUGUUUGGAAUCAGUUUAGACUCAGAAAUGGCAAUUUCUGUGAGUUCCCUGUAUAAGUAAGUGAAAGCAGAGGAGAGAAGCGGCCAGUGAAAUCCCAUGGACGUUACACAGUUGAUGGUGGUGGGAUGACACUGCAAUGUUUAGAUGUUUGAAAGGACAGUCUUCAUGGACUGAGUGGAUGUGUGUUGGCUGCAACUGCAAGGCCCGUGGCCUGCCUGGCGUCAGUUCUUAACAUCCUGUGGUUCCGUGGUUGUAUGAAUGUCAGAUAACGCUAAAGACUGGCUUUGAAGAGAACAAAAAAGCUGAGGAUGUUACCACAGCCCCCAAGAAACACAAGGGAGUGGAGGACACAAGGAAAAGGCUGAGGAGGAAAAUGCAAGCCUCUCAGAAUUGAAAGGAUCAGAAAGAUGAGGAAUUACCACUGUGUGAGAAUCUGGCAGCAACAGCAAGAGGAAAAUGAACUGAGUUUUCAUCAGGGUUCUGGUACUUCAUGUAAUCCACGAGAAAGUGCACUAACAGAGAGAGAUAAGCAUCUCCAGUGGAUGAUUCUGCCACCUGAAGAUAAAAAUGUAAGAUAGAUGGGAAGUGCCUGUCUUUCCAUUGGAGAAGCCACUUUGAUUUUAUGGAAGACAUCUAACUUCUAAACAGGUAAAAGUGGUUGAGAGAAAUCCCACAAAAUUACAUACUCCAGAACAGGAAAGAAAUAUGGAAGAAUUUGUCAGGGAUUACAGGGAAUUACUGUCACCUGACUAUGAAACUACUGCUAAAUUUAAGCAAAAAACCAAAUCCUGAGGCUUGAGGAAACAAGAAACAUUAAGAUUUUUUUUCCUUGUUGUAACUGAUUUUAGUGUCCAGCAGUGGAGUGCUGGAAGGAAGUGUAUUCCUGAUAAUUUUGCUGUCACUUUACUGCAUUUAUUCUUGCUUUGACUUUUUUACGGAUUCAGUGAGUGGCUAGAGACAAAAUGCAGUGAACUGCUGUCAGCCAUCUGCCUGGGACUUCUGGACCACAUGGAGGAGGAACCAUGCUGGAAAGGGAUUCACACAGGGCUAAAAUGCCCUGCAUUGCCUGAAAAAGGAACAAGUCAACUGCUGAAGUGACAAGACUGACACAGGAGCUCAGCACUGGAGCUAAAAGGAGAAAGGGGGUGCUGAAGUACUGCUACAGUUAAUUUCCUGACAAAAAAAGGGUUGUAAGAUCAAUGAAGUUGUUAGCUCUGGCAUGGAAGGGAUGGGGAUAACAAUGGAAGCAUUAUGUAAUUUGAAGAUAUUUUAACUUGUCUUUCUCUUUUUGUGUCUUCUCAGUUUCUAACUUCAGUCUUUCCAAAGAGACUUUUGGAUCUAGACAGGCUCCCCACAGCUUCUUCUGCUUGUUUCCUGCCUCUGACUUUUUCUGAGAUCCUGGCUUGUAAUCUGCUCUCCUCCUACAGUUCCUUAUGGCACUGUCUUAGUGCUAUCCAAAAAUACACGUGUUCCAUAAAGAAACCGCCUUUUUUGCUUGGAACUGAUACUGGUAUCCUGGGUCUUGCUAGAUUGUACCGUCAGCUCAUUAAUUUCCUUCCAGAAGAGCUCUUUUCCAAUGUAAUGAUCCAGGUUAAAUGAGUCAUUCUGGCAGCCAAUUUAACCCAAACUGUGCUGAAGUGCACAGUCCAGGUAGAACUGCAUCUCUGAGUGAUCUGCUGGGUUUUUUGUUACGUGAAUGGUUACACAUGGAUGGUCAUUUGAUUAAAACACCCAAUGAAAUUAUAAGAAAAUUACUUCAGACUGAGGAUAAACUAAGAAUAUGUUUUGGAGUUAAUCUAAUAUAUACAGGUAUCAAAUUCUUGCCCUCCUUUACCCAGUUUUGGCAGCACUUGGAGCUCAGAGCCACAGUUGGUUGGUUGUGCACAAUUUGCACCCCACAACAUUCCCUAUUUGCCAGUGUUUUAUGAUGUGGAAAUGUCCAUGAGAUGACCAAAAGAUGUACAGAAAUUUGAAGUUCUAGAGAAGCUCUAAGCCUUUUAAUUUUUCUUCCAGUUUCGGCCACAAUUCUCCCUUUCCUUUGGCAUUAUGCAUGCAGACAGGCACGCUAAUACCUUUAUUACAUAACUGUUCAGAAAUGCUCCCAUUUCACAGGAAAGAUGCAUCUCAUUCACACACCUUAUGCAAACAAGAUAUAAAUUGCUACACAAGUGAGGACAUGCAACAUUAUGCCUGAAAAGGCUACUCAGCUGCAAUCCUCACGGCCCUUCCCUGUGCCAGAGAGCGAAACCCUCCCUUUGGCUUGUUUUCCUCUCUUUUUGGGGCUGACAAAACUCUGCUUCUUCAUCACUAACGGCGGGGGGAAAAGCUGUGCAAUGAAAAACAAACCCCCACCCUGCCCCAGCUCCACGUUCAAGGUUGGGUUGACCCCUACUGACCGUGCUCCCGAGCAGCAGAUUUGGUGCCAACUGGGCAGUUUUUGGAAAUGCCAGCCCAAAUUACGCGAAUCGCGUGAUUAAGCGUGUGGGUGAGCUUAAGCUCUUGUAAACCUUUAUCAUCACCUUUGCCACAGUCUGAUGCAGCUGUGGAAACGUGGACUGCUCUGCGAGGUGAACAAGGGUUGAGGGAUGGCUUUGAUAUUUACAGAGAUGCGUGUUCUUCCAGCUGGAGGCUUCACACAGCUGCAGCUCAUAAGGAGUUGGCCUCAGCUGCAGAUCUGCAGUCAAAUCACAGAUUUUUCUCCUCAUCUGGGGUUUCUGUCCUCUCAAAAACCCCUUCACUAUGACUUUGAGAAAUAAAUGAUUAAAAGAUCUCUGCUGACUGGUAGAUUUGUGAAAAAAGGCAGGGGCAGAUGAUAUGAUUAUGUUUUGACAGGAGACUGACCUGUGAUAAUUCCAGAAGGUUUUCUUUUAUUAAUACCUAGAGGAGAGGAGCUGAAAGCAAAUUAUUUUUUGAGAUUUUCAGAUACUAAAAUACUGUAACCUUUCAUUAAAAUUUGAUGAACACUAUUCUCCAGGAGAGUGCUAAAACAAUAAUAAUUGUCUCAUCCAUCAGUAGUAAACUAUUAAUAUUGGCUCAAGCAAUGAAUAAGCCAAUUGAGAAAUGAGCCAUCUUCAUUAGUAGGUUCACUAUUCUUAGCAGUUCAUUAUUCUGAGUUCCUUAAAUUCAUUAUUCUAAGGAAGUUUCUAUAUGCAGCAGAGGAUGUACUAAUACUCCAUAACUUGAUUUAAUUAAACUUUGCAUUAAAUUUCAGUAAAUUAAAUACAUUUAUUGAAAAAAAGGAGGAAAUAGAGUGAAGUAAGAAUGGGGAAUACACACAGCAGGUAAGAUGCUGACAGCUGCAUUUCUCUAUUCCAUAGCUUUUCCCCCUCCCCCUGUCUAACUGGUACUUUUCCUGUAAUGCUCCUCACUGCAGGGCAGCUUAGGAGUGUUUUGGCAGGGAGCAGUCUGCUUAUUCUCCCUGGAGACUGCACAGGGAUCAUAAAUCCUUUUGGAGUUCUUAACCCUUAUAUGUAACUGACAGCUUUAAUCUUCUUCAUUACUAAAUUCAAGCAAGAGGCAGUGCAGGCACGCGGCGAGGAGGACACAUGUUCCAAUUGCUGGGCAGCCAGUCACACACUUUCCAAUAUUGUUAUUUAGUGGGUUUCUCAGACAGAACCCACCAUGCACUGGAAGUGUUUUUGAGACACACCAGUGUCCUAACAAACACUUGUGACAGAAGCAGGUCCCUGAACAUUCUUUUGGUGAGGAAUUCUUUGGUUUAAUCACGUUAGUGACUUCUGCCACCUUUUCCCUGAGUUAUAAUUUGUGUUGCACUCCUUCCCCUCAUUCUUUCCCUCUUGGCACAACUGGCACCUCCUCUGUGCCUUCUGCUGUCAGAGGGAACCAGGUGCCAAUAGUAAUGUUUACGUCAGGGUGAUCUGUGAAUGCUGGUGACCUCCUCCUAGGAGGAAAAGAAUGAUGACCCAUUAAGGCAAUCAAGUCAACUGUUUAGAUGACUCUGUGCAAAUAAUUUUUCCAGAUGUCUAAAUACAGCAGAGAAAUCUACCCUGGCAUACCUUACUCCUCACUUAUCACUAUUGUGAUACUAUACCAGUGAGGUUUUUCCACUGGCACAGCACUGUAACAUGUGUAUUUCAGAGCGUUUCAGUGCAUGAGAAAACAUUUCCUGCACAUGAGACAGAAAAGAUAAAUUACAUGUCCCAAGUGGCAUACGGAUUUAUUGUUGCAGAUAGGGGGAAGAUUGAUGUCUUGUGUCUUCUUGUCACGAAACUGCAAGAGCCAUUUGUGAAAGAUACUGGAAUGCUGACGUACAAUGCUUGGGGUUUUUCCACUGUUUUAGCAUGGUUGGUGUUAUUGUUUGACUGACUGUGUGUUUCUGAAGAUGACAGAACAUUGUCUCCUCUUCAGUUUACAGGGUUUUUUCACCCCUUUUACAUAAGGAUUGCUUUCACAGCACUGAUUGCUUAAGGCAAGUGCUAUCUAAAUGUGUUUGAAUGUAUGCAAUCAUCAGAGGCAUAUUUUGCAACUCUUUGUCAGAAUCCAAUAAAUACACAGCAAUUAAAAGGGAGAUUAUGACAAUGUAGUAGGUGAGCAAACAAGUUUCUAAAAAGGACGCUUUCCCCCCUUAAAUGUUUGCCAGAAUAAUUUUUAGAAGAAUCCAGCUGUUCAUAAGCUGCUGUGAGGAUCAGUUGUGUGUUAGAGACUAUAAAAGCACAUUUUAUUCACAGUUCCAGGACCCAGAAACAACGUGAGAAAAUUGAUACACUGCUGAUAAGGUUGGAUGUUAGAGUUUUACCAAGGUCCCAUAUUUCAUUUGAGCACACAAAACCCUCUGAAUGUCAACAAAACAAACACAAACUUCAGGAUGUUUAAACAACCCAAAUUCCUUUAGUGGCAAGCUGGGCUGGCAGUGUGUGGUACCCAAUGAGAGAGCAGAAAGGGAUAUAAAGCUCACCCUGCUAGGUCCUGUACAGGUCAGAUCUCAAAUGAUUUCAAGUGACAAAUUUACUGUCCAUGGUAUGCACCAGGGAAACAGAAAAAUCUUCUAUUUCUGAUUUUAAAAACAUGUAAUAAAGCAAUGUUCCCAAGAAUGGUAGAGACAUAGCAAAACACAGAUUCCUCCAGCUUUAAUCCAAAAACUAAAUUCUGCCUUUUUAAUAUUGUUCAACAUCUGCUACAGCUGUUAAAAUGUCAAUACUGGGUGCUCUUAGGGUUCUGGGAGUUUGAUUUGCUUCUGGCUCCCACUUUUCAUGUGGAGUCACUGAUGGGAAAUUGCCCAGGAGGUCCAGUGCUUGAUGGCAGAUCUGGGAUGUUUUAAGUACUUUGAGAAUACUUCAUUCAUGUUCACUCAGUGCUUAUAUAAAAAGGUGAAUUCCAGUCUACAGGAACAUCUCAGUGAUGCACCAUGUACCAGAAUAGCAGUGACUUCCUAAUAGUUUCUUAGUUUUCUCAGAAGUGUGUAUGUUAUUAGGAAGCUGACUCCUACCUGCUUGAAGGAUUUUAAGGUCUUACUAGGAAAACAGUAAGAAAUUAUAUAUUAUUUGACAUGCAAAUAAGGCUCUUAUAACACAGAGACAACAGAAUAUCAAACAGUAACUCCAGAAAAUGGGUAGGAUAUUUCAGAUAUAUAUUUAUAAAGGACCAUUUUUUACAGGUUGUAUGUAGGAGAUUUGGAUGUCAUCCAGGAUGACUCAAGUUUGUAAGGCUUUUCUGAGUCUGUGACAACUGAAGUGACAUAAAUAUGAAUUAUAAUCACAACAAGCCAGUGCUGCUUUUCAAUGUCUCUAUUGUGCCUUACAACACUUGCUUUACCUUAAGCAGCACAAGUGUCCUUAAGAUACCAUUUCUUAUUCUGGUAUGACAGUCUUCAGUCAUAAAGCUUGUUUGCACAUUGACAACAUCAUUGUAAGUAAUUAAAUCAGAACUAUUUCUUCUCUCAGAAUCCAAGCACUCCAGUUGGUUGAGCUUUCUGAAGGUGGAAAUGUUGCUCUCAGCUCAUAAGGACCUUUAAAAAAAAACAAAAAAACCCAACAAACCAAACAAAAAGCCCAAGCAACAAAAGAAACAACUCCUCUGUAAAUGCUUCUCCAUCCAUAUAAUCAGAAUGAGAGGGGAAAAACCAUCUGAGAAGUAUUCCAACCCACAUAAAGGUUCAACCCACCACUUAGGGUGCUUCACAUGAAGAAAGUGUGAGGAGCAAUUGUAGCAGGAUGCUCUGCCUGGAGUGGGGGUAAAACAACUCUGAUACUGACAGUGACCCUGUCAGUGGUGGAUGGAGAAGGGGGUGGCUCCGUGUUUUCAGUGUUGAAUAACGCUGGGACCAGUCAAACAUCCUGAGAGUGAGGUGAGGAUGUGGCAGGCGUGGUGAAGCACCUGAUAAAGGAAAAACAAGUGGCACUACUGAUAACUUAUCUGUGGCUGCUGAGCUGACAGCUGGCCUGGGGACAUCCCACUGACAGUCCAUCACCUGACACUGCAAAAGCCCAGGUCCACUUUUUAAAGGGAGGGUAUUAUCACACACCCCUUCUUGGAUUGUGUGUGGAGAUUCCUCCCUGGAGAGGGGCUCCCCUCCAGGUUAUCUCUUCAGGUUAAAGACAGAGAUUUAGCCCCAUGUGGGUGUGGAUGAGCAACACCAAACUCUACUUAAAACCUGAUUUUUCUAGCUUUAAUACAAUUGCUUUGAUAUUAUUUCAAAAAUAGUGCACUAUGCUAUACAGUAGUUUUAGCUGCCUGUGUUGUGUAGUCAAGAAUUCUGAUUGAGGUGUUACAGUCCAGUCAUCAUCACAAUACUACCAAAAAUAGGUAAAAAUAAAAACUCCUUAACACCAAUGUAGAAUUAAGAAGCGGGCAUUCUUUAUUCAGCAGGAUGCACAAAAUCUCUGAAAUACUGAGCCUGCUGAGUGCAGAAAAAGCUCCUGUUUAUACACUAUAUUUUGCAUACAUAUUCAUAGGUUUUCCCAGGAAAAACAUACAACUUAUAAUAAUUUCCCUGAUAUCAUUGGCAUGGAGGUGUUCCCUCCCCUCUGCUCAUGCAUUCUUCUGUCCUGGGGGUCUCUGUGGUGGCCCCUGGUUGGUGACCCCAAGUCACACCUGACCACCCAGGGAACUGGUAAAACUUGGCACAGCUGGGCUGGUUGCUUUGCAUUUCUUCUUCUUGCAGAUUGAGCAUUGUGUGGUUCCAAAGGCCAGUGAUUUUUGAAGAAUGAGCAUUGUAUUUGCCCACCAGGUGCAAACUAUCACUCAUCUGGCAGCUAUAAUAAAUAACUUACUUUCAUAUACAUAUGUCUGGUUUGCCAUCCUUAGUCCAAAGGUUCAAUUACACCUAUACAAUCAUUCAAACAUAAAUUGUUGGCCGAGUCUGGGGUUGGGAUUGGAUCCAGCCUCACUCUGAGAAGGAGUUUAGAAAUCCAGGGGGUCCCUUCCACACCUGGUGACUCAGUGGAAGGUUCUCCCUGAAAAACCCUUUCUGCAGCUCCCAGUCUGCUCUGGGCAGUAAUAUUGGUUAUGUCUUUCAACUUUGACCCAUGGGAUAUUCUGAUUUUAAAAAAAAAAAAGUCAAUCCACAGUAUUAAUAUUCCCAGAAUCCAUGACUUGGUGUCAGGAGAAAAAAUUUCCAUAAAAUGUUUUUAGCCUUCUAGACUGUGGUAUGCUGACAUCACAGAGUACCAAUUUCUUUAUCAUCACCUUACAGAUAAUUGCCCCACCUGAACUGGGAAAAAUUAAACACCUUCAUCUUAUUUUAUUAAACACUGAGUCUGAUAGCGUUACAAAAUUCAAUUCCUGAAAUUACAAUGCAAGAUUUUUUUUAAAAAUUUGAGUUAAAUACUAAAUUUCCACUCAGUCUUUCAAGGAAUUUUGAAAAUCACUGCCAGAAGGGUUUAGAUUGAAAGUUGUGUUCCUUCAUAGCUGUCAUAUGUCUGAGAUUUAAAGGACCUUGGAAAUGGUCCAUCUCAGAGUGUACCUGUGAAACUGCAGAACUAUUUUGUGAAGCAAAUGCUGAAAUAAGUUGAUCUCUUCUGUGCUGAUGCAAAAAUAACCAUGUUCCAGGCCACAUCUAUAACAAAUGCUCAUGUGGAAUUGAGAUAGUCUGUAAAACACAAAAUUCAACCUCACCCUUCCUCCCUCUGCUUUGUUUCAGGCAGGGACGUUUCUGGUGUACUCCCUGGGCUGGAAGGAAACUGCAGUUUGUUUUUAGAGCUUUUGCCUUGAAAUCCCUCUGUCCUUCCCCAGCUCCCUUUCCUCCUCAUUGCCAUGUCUGCAGCAGGAUCAGAAGUUUGCAGGGCUGACAGUGUCUGGAGCAGGUGGUGUUCCUGACAAAGGGCUGGCACUUUGUUUUCUCCCUGGUGUGCCAGAUAUCAGCAGUCAGCACCAUGGAGUCAGACCUGCAACUGCUCUCAGUAUUUCAGGUUAAAAAAACCCAAAUCCUGUGGUCUUCUGCAUGCAAGGACUUCAAAGGAAUGUGAAAGAAGCAUACGGCUGUUCAGCAUGUGUGAAACAUGAGUUUAAGACAUCUGAUGGGCUUUUCUGUAAGUUCAUUAAGAUGUUAAUGCAGCAGCGGUAUUUAUCUUUUCAACACUCCGGCAUAUUCUGAACAUCAGGAUUCCAGCUCCUCCUUUAUUACAGAAAAAGGAUUUGUAACCAUGUGUCUACUCAAAAUACCAAAUAAUGCCAAGUAAAAGAACUUUUUCUGGCCCUGGAAGUGGAAAUCUGUGUGGAAUGUUGUAGAAAUGGCAGGUUUUUUGGAGAGGAAAUUUAAAAACCUUUAGGAAACAUAUAAUGUUUUCUUUGCUCGUCUAAUCUUGCCACAAAAACAGUUAAAAGAAGGUGCACUGUGGAUUGUCCCCGGGGAGAAUAUGCUCACAUUUAUAAGGAAUUUCUUGGACAAGUGCUUGCACCCACCAUGGGGUGGAAGAUCUGAUAAGAAACUCUGUGCUUUGACCAAGGGAGGACAUUCUGGAGAACAGUUCAGAAGCCUGGAGACUCCUGCUUGGUCAUUUGGAGCCAUUUCCAAUAAAGUAAACAGAAUAAAGUUUAAUAAAGAAUAAAGUAAACAACAUUUCUGUCACCAGCCUCAUACCAAAAUGGGGACAGCAGUAGGUGCUACAUGUGUGCAGUGAUCCAGGGAUAUUUCCUGAAUGGCAACUAUUGACCAAUUUCAGCUUUGUUUCAGAAGUUUUGGGGUUUUUUCCUCCUAACAGAACAAAAAUUUAGAAGAAAAUCUCUGCAAGCAUGAACAUAAUGUGAGACAAAUAAUUUUUUAGAUUAAAAAGUAGGGGAAAAAAUAACAAAACCAAGGAACUAAUUAAAAACAAUGUUGAUGAUGUUAUCCAACGAGUUCUUUAAAAAGGAGUCUAUGCAGCAGUGGGGGAAGAUGUUGGAAAAUUCUUUUAACUUUAGCACAAUAAUGUUUUGUACCUACAUCAGUGAUUAAUAUGUGGCAAAAUGUCGUAGCAGACUUCUUGAUUUUUGAGACUGUGUGUCAGAGCAAAGAAUGAUAACAGAAGUACAUCUCGACCUGCCCACAUACUUGAGAUAUUUUCAAGGAGAAAAGAUUCAUUAGAAGAUCUGGAACCAUGAAAGGGAAGUAUGGGGAAUGGGAUGUUCCCAAAUGAUCACCAAAGACCCUCAGAAGACCCCUACUCAUAGCCAAAUCAGUCCACUGAAAUAAUUUGAAAAUAUGCAUAUAUUCAGGAAUUGUAAUGAAUAUCCAUCUCAGUGUGGCAGAGUAGGUCACUCCCAAACUAUAAAAAUAUGAAAAUAUUACAAGUAAUCUAUGUCUUUUACCAAUCUGCCCUCACUUUGAAAAGGAUUCAAAUGGAAACAGGAGAAACAAGUUCUAAAUACUAUAGUGUCUUCAGUGGGAGGAAGAGUACUGGGAUGAGAGAAGAGAAAGAAAAGAGAGAAGGAAAAUGUAUCUGACAAUUCAUUUCUAGUCAAUUUUCAAAAAUAUCCCUUUUGUCAGUGAAAAAAGUUUUUUGUCAACCCAUCCAAUUCCUCUAAAACUACCGAAGCCACACCUCCCUUUUUCCUCCCGUGGGUUGGAUCACCUUUGCCUGUCAAUGUGCCACAACUUCUAAAACCAGAGGAACACCCAGCCUUGUCCUCUCCAUUUCCUGCUACAAGAAAGAGAGGUCAGGCUGAGUGUCAGCUGUGAGUCAGGGCCUUCAGACGUGCCCUCCUCUUCCCCUCUACGGUGCUCCUGGAUCCAGGGAGCACUCUGUGCUAAUUCCAAGGGGCUGGAUGCUGGGUGCCCCUCACUCAGCCACCUGCAGUCCCCUCCCUGAAAGGGAGCACACAGAAAUGACAAUUAGAAAGUUAAUACGUCACAGGAAUGAAUCCAUUGAUGCCCAUCCAAGAAUUUAAUCAACAGGAUGUGUUUUCUUCAACUGAGAUGUCUCAUUAAUUAAUUACUGCGAUUCAAGGUUCUCAUGUGUUGAGAAAAUGUGCUUGGUUACUUACAGGGUAAAGCAAAACAGUUUCAGCUGGGAGAGGUGAUUUGCCCUGCUAAUCUGGGCCAUGGUUAACCCAGGGUUUAGUCACUGAAAAUAAAUACCAUUCCAGUAACUUCCUGAGCAGGAGGUCUGUCUGGUUUAUCUUUCAUGAAAAAUGAAAUUGUCCUGCUUCAUUGAAUCUGCUGCAGUAAUGUGAGAGUUCACUGAUAACAGAUGUUACAGAGAUCCUACAGUACUACUCUUAGUAAGUCAAGGUUUUAAACCUGCCUUCAAUGUUCCUAGGCUUGUGGGAGUUUUGCGUGGGCUUUUGGUUUGGUUUGUUGGAUUGGUUUUUGGGGGUUUUUUGUUUGUUUGUUUGGGGUGGUGUUUUGUUUGUUUUUUUGGGGGUUUUUGUUGUUGUUUUUUUUGGGGGGGUGUGUGGUUUUUUUGUUGGUUUUUUGUUGUUGUUGUUUUUUUGGGGGGGGGGGUUGGUGGGGUUUUUUUUGGGUUUUGGAGUUUUUUUGUGACAAGCAUGAAUAUGAAUCUUUAAAUAAGUUAUCUGUAAAACAGUUUGAUAGCUCUAUGCAGAUUGUUAUACUGGGAAAGUCUGCUCAGUCAUGGUUAUCAUAGAUGGACAAUAUAUAUAACCAUACAUAAAGGGAAAUAAAUAACAAGAAAGCUAAUAUUAAGUAUAUAAACACAUUAAGAUCAUCAACAGGUGGCUAUAUAACAACUAGGUAUCACAUUUUUUCUGUGACUUUCCAUGUUCUCUUCAAGGUUUUCCUGUUGUCUCAGGUUAGACAAGAGGUCAGACUGUUUUUUACAGUGUUUGCAGUAGCAGAAUAAGAACUCAGUCCUUCCUGAAACUCUGAAGUCCUGCUGUAAUAUUGAAAAAAAUUCCAUUGGUAUAAGCCAGGAUGAUUAAAAAAAACAAAACUAGCUGUUCUCCCUCCUCACCACCAUAUUUAAGGCGUAUCCAGGUUUUGGGAUGAUCACCAGUCUUAAACAACUUUCUGGCCUUUAAAUCAAACUGGUAAAACAGAACAUGCUCUUGAGUCAAAGGGGAAAGAUAAAUCUGUCACUUGUAGGAACUGGGGCUGAAAUAUCAUUAUAGAUGAAAAUUACUCCAUUUCAGAGGAGAUUUAGAGAAAUUUUUCUAGUCUUUGUAGAUUUUUUCAGCUAAAAAGGCAAAAAUGUUGGAACAGCAGGACCCUAGAAUCAGGUAUUUGAACUGAAUUUGGGUGACAGGUUUCACCUUGUAAGAAAUAGGAGGGUAAAACAAAUCCUGUGCGGAAGAGAAAUUUCAACAGCAUCUGACCUUCAUAAAGAAAGCUGUGCCUGUUUGUCUCAGUCCUGUAUACUGAAAGGUCACAUGGCGAUAAGAGCACCUUAUUAUGACUAAACUGUUGAAUGUAUUUGUGAUAAGCUGGUUCUUUUCUUUCUUAUCCUUCUCAUUAACUAAUUAAUGAGAGCUAUUGUUAUUUCAGCCUACAUGGUUGAAAGAAAAGAGUAAUCCAUGACAUUAAUUUAAGGAGGGAAACUUAUGAAAGACUUGCCUUGAACAGAUUUUUCAGAGACCAGGACUUGGGCUCCACACACUUAGCUUGGCUUCCAGACUUGGAUACAAAUAUAUCUUAAAUAAUUUUCAGGAUUUUGAAAUAAGGUAGUAAGUACCCAAAAAUGAAAUAGACAUUUUAAAGACUUGCAAAAGCAAAUAGGUAGAGUACCUUGGAGAGUGAUGAAAUGCUAUUAAAGAUCACAUUGAAAUAAUAUUAAAAGUCCUAAAAUCAUGAGACUACUAGAAAAAAAAUAACUAGGGGGAAAUUAAUCUUUCUGUGUGUGCAAUGUAAUAUCAAUGAUGGACAGUAAAUAAUUCCUGGCUGAAUAUUCAUUUUGUCAUAAUCAUCUAUUCUGGGAACUGCAAAAGAUGGGAUUGGUCUGUUCUCUAUAAAAAUACCCUAAAUAUUUCUUUUCAAUUAAUGGUAUUUACAAAAGAACAUAGACUACCUAAAAUACAGGUUACAGACCUAAAAUACUUUUCUGCACUUUUGGAAAUAAGUGCUCUAAGCUGAACUAAGUUAAGAAGCAACCUAAUCUGGAAUAACAUAUAGGUAUAAGAAGAGUACAGAGAAUCAAUUACAUAAUUUUCUGCCUAUUUUGCUAAAUCAUAACCUGGAACCAUCACACAAGAGAAGAUGUGUCUCUCACAGUCAAAAUUGGAGAUAUUUUUAUGCAGGAGAAGUCCUGAAUUUAAAGAUGCACUUUGGGAACAGCAGCAAAUAUAAUAACAAUUAACCUAAGCAAGUCUAUGUUAAACAAAAACAACCAACAAAAAAAAAACCUCAUAAAAAUAAAAAUCUAAACCAAUCAAACAAACAAACAAACCACCAACAAAACACCAACCAAACUUCAUUAAUCAUCUGCAUAUACUUAGUAUAUAAAAUUUAUUGUUGUUUAAAGCCUCUUGGUAUGAUGUUUUUGCUGCUGAAAUAUGUGUAAUUGUAAAUGAGGAUUGUAAUAAACCAAGUUAUGGGCACUAUAAAAAAAAGGCCUCAGACAAUGAGAUUUGAUUGAUAUGUACUUAUUUUUUCCAGGGAAUCACCACCUUUUCAAACAGGUUGAGAAUGGUGAUUUAGAGUUGUGGAAGUUGGGGCUCUCCAGGGACUAAGAGAUGUUCACCAGUUGAUUUAAGUGAAUGGUUUUGUGGCUUGUGGGGCUAUAAACUGACCUUCUAAAACAGAAAUAAAAAUGUCAGACUGGAUCUGAUUAAUUUUAAGGGUUAAUUUUUAAAGCAAAUGACAAUGGUUUAGUUGAAAAAUGCCCAGAUUUUCCAAAUCUGGGGAAAGGCCUUGGAAGCAGCUGCUCUGUGCGGCAUGGAAGCUCCUCUACACAGAGAUCCUGACUCACACUUCUUAGGGCAGUGACAACUUUUACUGCCACUAUCUCAGUAAAACCCUUUGAACACUGUGCUUUUCCUUAAACUUAAUUAGACUACCUGGAAAAGCGAGCCCUUUCUCCCUGGGUUCAUGUUCUUGGAAACACAGAAUCAGUUAGGCUGGAAAAAACCCUUAAAAACAUUGAGUCCAGUCACUGACAAGGCCUGCACUAAACCGUGUCCCCAAGUGCCUCAUCCAUAGACUUUUUCAGAUCCCUCCAGGGAUGGUGACUCAACCACUUCCCUGGCCAGCCUGUUCCAAGGCCUGACAACCCUUUGGGUGAAGAAAUUUCCCCUAAUUAUCCGAUCUAAACCU